rnacentral:sRNA from 1 species
CUGCGCGGGUAGCCCCUGGGAGCACGCGGCACCGAGUCACGUGAGAGGGGAGCGCAGGCGAAGGGGCGUCGCGCGCAAGCACGCACGACGUACGCAAACACGCACUGAGGCGCCCACAGAGCGCCUGCCUGGACGAGCUGAGCUGCGAGUUCCUGCUGGCUGGGGCCGGAGGGGCCGGGGCGGGGGCCGCGCCCGGACCGCAUCUCCCCCCACGGGGGUCGGUGCCUGGGGAUCCUGUCCGCAUCCACUGCAACAUCACGGAGUCAUACCCUGCUGUGCCCCCCAUCUGGUCGGUGGAGUCUGAUGACCCUAACUUGGCUGCUGUCUUGGAGAGGCUGGUGGACAUAAAGAAAGGGAAUACUCUGCUAUUGCAGCAUCUGAAGAGGAUCAUCUCCGACCUGUGUAAACUCUAUAACCUCCCUCAGCAUCCAGAUGUGGAGAUGUUGGAUCAACCCUUGCCAGCAGAGCAGUGCACACAGGAAGACGUGUCUUCAGAAGAUGAAGAUGAGGAGAUGCCUGAGGACACAGAAGACUUAGAUCACUAUGAAAUGAAAGAGGAAGAGCCGGCUGAGGGCAAGAAAUCUGAAGAUGAUGGCAUUGGAAAAGAAAACUUGGCCAUCCUAGAGAAAAUUAAAAAGAACCAGAGGCAAGAUUACUUAAAUGGUGCAGUGUCUGGCUCGGUGCAGGCCACUGACCGGCUGAUGAAGGAGCUCAGGGAUAUAUACCGAUCACAGAGUUUCAAAGGCGGAAACUAUGCAGUCGAACUCGUGAAUGACAGUCUGUAUGAUUGGAAUGUCAAACUCCUCAAGUGAGUGGGGACUCUGGGAUUG